rnacentral:misc_RNA from 1 species
GUGCUGUUGGAUGAUGUGGGCGAUCGUGUACCUUGCACAGUUGAAACCGCUCAUUGUACCAAUCUUAAGUGAAGGAGAGUGAGGAUGCUGAUGGAAGAUUGAUGAAAGCAUUUUGAGGCAUGUAGCAGCUGAAGAUACUGUUGUAUCAGAAUUUCUGUCUACUUAUAUAUAUUAUAUAGUAACAAAACAAUUUUGAAGUCAUUUUUUAGAUUCAUAGUAUAAUGUUUUCCAGUUCGAAAUCCUUUCUCUUAGCUUUGGACUAAUGCCAAUAAUAAAAGGUGG